rnacentral:rRNA from 1 species
GUGCAUGGUAGGCAGUUUGACUGGGGCGGUCUCCUCCCAAAGCGUAACGGAGGAGUACGAAGGUACGCUAGGUACGGUCGGAAAUCGUGCUGAUAGUGCAAUGGCAUAAGCGUGCUUAACUGCGAGACCGACAAGUCGAGCAGGUGCGAAAGCAGGUCAUAGUGAUCCGGUGGUUCUGUAUGGAAGGGCCAUCGCUCAACGGAUAAAAGGUACUCUGGGGAUAACAGGCUGAUACCGCCCAAGAGUUCAUAUCGACGGCGGUGUUUGGCACCUCGAUGUCGGCUCAUCUCAUCCUGGGGCUGUAGCCGGUCCCAAGGGUAUGGCUGUUCGCCAUUUAAAGAGGUACGUGAGCUGGGUUUAAAACGUCGUGAGACAGUUUGGUCCCUAUCUGCCGUGGGCGUUGGAUAUUUGAAGGGGGCUGCUCCUAGUACGAGAGGACCGGAGUGGACGAACCUCUGGUGUACCGGUUGUCACGCCAGUGGCAUCGCCGGGUAGCUAUGUUCGGAAGAGAUAACCGCUGAAAGCAUCUAAGCGGGAAACUCGCCUUAAGAUGAGAUAUCCCUGGGGACUAGAUCCCCUUGAAGGGUCGUUCGAGACCAGGACGUUGAUAGGUCAGGUGUGUAAGCGCAGUAAUGCGUUCAGCUAACUGAUACUAAUUGCCCGUAAGGCUUGAUCCUAUAACA